rnacentral:tRNA from 1 species
GGCGUGGUGGCCAAGAGGUGAGGCGUUGGUGUUUAAACCAAAGGUCAUGGGUUCAACCCCCAUCCACACCU